AGAGUUUGAUCCUGGCUCAGAUUGAACGCUGGCGGAAUGCUUUACACAUGCAAGUCGAGCGGCAGCGCGGGGGCAACCCUGGCGGCGAGCGGCGAACGGGUGAGUAACAUAUCGGAACGUACCCCGUCGUGGGGGAUAACACAGCGAAAGCUGUGCUAAUACCGCAUACGACCUGAGGGUGAAAGCGGGGGAUCGCAAGACCUCGCGCGAUGGGAGCGGCCGAUAUCGGAUUAGCUUGUUGGUGAGGUAAAGGCUCACCAAGGCGACGAUCCGUAGCUGGUCUGAGAGGACGACCAGCCACACUGGAACUGAGACACGGUCCAGACUCCUACGGGAGGCAGCAGUGGGGAAUUUUGGACAAUGGGGGCAACCCUGAUCCAGCCAUUCCGCGUGAGUGAAGAAGGCCUUCGGGUUGUAAAGCUCUUUCAGCAGGAACGAAACGGUGGCCGCUAAUACUGGCUACUAAUGACGGUACCUGAAGAAGAAGCACCGGCCUAACUACGUGCCAGCAGCCCGCGGUAAUACGUAGGGUGGCGAGCGUUAAUCGGAAUUACUGGGCGUAAAGCGUGCGCAGGCGGUUCCAUAAGACAGAUGUGAAAUCCCCGGGCUUAACCUGGGAACUGCGUUUGUGACUGUGGGGACUC
rnacentral:rRNA from 1 species